AGGAUGAACGCUAGCGGCGUGCCUAACACAUGCAAGUCGAACGUGAAGGGGUACUUGUACUCCUGAAAGUGGCGGACGGGUGAGUAAGACGUAGGUGACCUGCCUUGAAGUGGGGGAUAACCAUUGGAAACGAUGGCUAAUACCGCAUGACGUUAUUUGGUUGGGAAACGAGAUAACCAAAGUUGAGGCGCUUUGAGAGGGGCCUACGGCCGAUUAGCUAGUUGGUGGGGUAAGAGCCUACCAAGGCGAUGAUCGGUAGCUGGUCUGAGAGGACGAUCAGCCACACGGGAACUGAGACACGGUCCCGACUCCGUACGGGGGCAGCAGUGAGGAAUA
rnacentral:rRNA from 1 species